AACCCAUGGAAUGGAAAAUGUCUUAACAAGUCUUUGUAUCGCUCCCAAACGUCAAAGAGAGACUCCUUAUUUUCUUGCCUAAAGUUAUGGAUCUCGUUUCUAACCUU